GUGGGGAAUAUUGGUCAAUGGGCGGGAGCCUGAACCAGCCAAGUCGCGUGAAGGAAGAAGGAUCUAUGGUUCGUAAACUUCUUUUGCAGGGGAAUAAAGUGCAGGACGUGUCCUGUUUUGUAUGUACCCUGAGAAUAAGGAUCGGCUAACUCCGUGCCAGCAGCCGCGGUAAUACGGAGGAUACGAGCGUUAUCCGGAUUUAUUGGGUUUAAAGGGUGCGUAGGUGGUUUGAUAAGUCAGCGGUGAAAGUUUGCAGCUUAACUGUAAAAAUGCCGUUGAAACUGUCGGACUUGAGUGUAAAUGAGGUAGGCGGAAUGCGUGGUGUAGCGGUGAAAUGCAUAGAUAUCACGCAGAACUCCGAUUGCGAAGGCAGCUUACUAAGCUACAACUGACACUGAAGCACGAAAGCGUGGGGAUCAAACAGGAUUAGAAACCCUGGUAGUCC
rnacentral:rRNA from 1 species